rnacentral:rRNA from 1 species
GAUGAACGCUGGCGGCGUGCCUAAUACAUGCAAGUCGAGCGAACAGACGAGGAGCUUGCUCCUCUGACGUUAGCGGCGGACGGGUGAGUAACACGUGGAUAACCUACCUAUAAGACUGGGAUAACUUCGGGAAACCGGAGCUAAUACCGGAUAAUAUAUUGAACCGCAUGGUUCAAUAGUGAAAGGCGGUUUUGCUGUCACUUAUAGAUGGAUCCGCGCCGCAUUAGCUAGUUGGUAAGGUAACGGCUUACCAAGGCAACGAUGCGUAGCCGACCUGAGAGGGUGAUCGGCCACACUGGAACUGAGACACGGUCCAGACUCCUACGGGAGGCAGCAGUAGGGAAUCUUCCGCAAUGGGCGAAAGCUUGACGGAGCAACGCCGCGUGAGUGAUGAAGGUCUUCGGAUCGUAAAACUCUGUUAUUAGGGAAGAACAAAUGUGUAAGUAACUAUGCACGUCUUGACGGUACCUAAUCAGAAAGCCACGGCUAACUACGUG